CGAUGAACCGCUUUCGGGCGGGGAUUAGUGGCGAACGGGUGAGUAACACGUGGGCAAUCUGCCCUGCACUCUGGGACAAGCCCUGGAAACGGGGUCUAAUACCGGAUAUGACUGUCCAUCGCAUGGUGGAUGGUGUAAAGCUCCGGCGGUGCAGGAUGAGCCCGCGGCCUAUCAGCUUGUUGGUGAGGUAGUGGCUCACCAAGGCGACGACGGGUAGCCGGCCUGAGAGGGCGACCGGCCACACUGGGACUGAGACACGGCCCAGACUCCUACGGGAGGCAGCAGUGGGGAAUAUUGCACAAUGGGCGAAAGCCUGAUGCAGCGACGCCGCGUGAGGGAUGACGGCCUUCGGGUUGUAAACCUCUUUCAGCAGGGAAGAAGCGAAAGUGACGGUACCUGCAGAAGAAGCGCCGGCUAACUACGUGCCAGCAGCCGCGGUAAUACGUAGGGCGCAAGCGUUGUCCGGAAUUAUUGGGCGUAAAGAGCUCGUAGGCGGCUUGUCACGUCGGUUGUGAAAGCCCGGGGCUUAACCCCGGGUCUGCAGUCGAUACGGGCAGGCUAGAGUUCGGUAGGGGAGAUCGGAAUUCCUGGUGUAGCGGUGAAAUGCGCAGAUAUCAGGAGGAACACCGGUGGCGAAGGCGGAUCUCUGGGCCCGAUACUGACGCUGAGGAGCCGAAAGCG
rnacentral:rRNA from 1 species